AGGGAUUCACCUGCUGGCAAAAGAGAUCCAUGGGAGCAGCAGGAAGCAGGGAGAGGUGUCCGUCAGUCUGGAGACAGGAGGCUUCCAUGCAUAGUUGAUGUGUGCCACCAAUGACCUCAUCUCUCGCCCUGCUCCGGAGCUUGGGUAUCAGUUCAGCCCAGCUGUGGGUCUGUUGUGGGUGCAGACAGCAAUUCGGUGAAAUGUGAAAAGGGGGUGAAGAAAGAAGAAAAACACAGAGGAGAAGCCGCCGGAAAGAGAAGGACUCGACAGACACCCUUAGUCCCAGCACUGGGAGGUGCUAGCAUAGGCCGGGGACAGCCUGACUUCUAGAGCUGCUUCUAGGGCUACACAGUGAGACCUGGUCUCAAAAGAAAAAUAAGAGAGAUGGAAGGAACCUGGGAUGCUGUCUUUCAGCGAUGGAUGCAAGCACACGCUUCUGUGACCUCUGACCUCCCCCUCUGCGUCAUCAACCAUUUGCCAGGCCCUCGGUCCCAGUUUAGACCAGAAAUGGUGAACUCUCCAGGACUGUUCUUUUAGCUCAAGGCUGCUUUAGCUAUGGG
rnacentral:lncRNA from 1 species